GCCAAAGUGGUGGAAUUGGUAGACACGUUGGAUUCAAAAUCCAAUGUCCAUUAGGACGUGUGGGUUCGAGUCCCACCUUUGGUA
rnacentral:tRNA from 1 species